rnacentral:rRNA from 1 species
AUUGAACGCUGGCGGCAGGCUUAACACAUGCAAGUCGAGCGGGGUGAUGGUGCUUGCACUAUCACUUAGCGGCGGACGGGUGAGUAAUGCUUAGGAAUCUGCCUAUUAGUGGGGGACAACAUCUCGAAAGGGAUGCUAAUACCGCAUACGUCCUACGGGAGAAAGCAGGGGAUCACUUGUGACCUUGCGCUAAUAGAUGAGCCUAAGUCGGAUUAGCUAGUUGGUGGGGUAAAGGCCUACCAAGGCGACGAUCUGUAGCGGGUCUGAGAGGAGGAGCCGCCACACUGGGACUCGGACACGGCCCAGACUCCUACGGGAGGCAGCAGUGGGGAAAAUUGGACAAUGGGGGGAACCCUGAGCCAGCCAUGCCGCGUGUGUGAAGAAGGCCUUAUGGUUGUAAAGCACUUUAAGCGAGGAGGAGGCUCUUUUGGUUAAUACCCAAGAUGAGUGGACGUUACUCGCAGAAUAAGCACCGGCUAACUCUGUGCCAGCCGCCGCGGUAA